rnacentral:rRNA from 1 species
UAAGGAAUAUUGGGCAAUGGAGGCAACUCUGACCCAGCCAUCCCGCGUGAAGGAUGACGGCCCUAUGGGUUGUAAACUUCUUUUGUUUGGGAAGAAAUCAGGACAUUCAUGUGCUGUUGACGGUACCUUACGAAUAAGCACCGGCUAACUCCGUGCCAGCAGCCGCGGUAAUACGGAGGGUGCAAGCGUUAUCCGGAAUCACUGGGUUUAAAGGGUGCGUAGGCGGCUAAAUAAGUCAGAGGUGAAAGCUGGCAGCUCAACUGUCAAACUGCCUUUGAUACUGUUUGGCUUGAAUCAGGUUAAGGUAGGCAGAAUGUGGCAUGUAGCGGUGAAAUGCAUAGAUAUGCCAUAGAAUACCAAUUGCGAAGGCAGCUUGCUGGGCCUGAAUUGACGCUGAGGCACGAAAGCGUGGGGAUCAAACAGG